AUUGAACGCUGGCGGCAGGCCUAACACAUGCAAGUCGAGCGAGCGGCGGACGGGUGAGUAAUGUCUGGGAAACUGCCUGAUGGAGGGGGAUAACUACUGGAAACGGUAGAUAAUACCGUAUACCAUCAGAUGCGCCCAGAUGGGAUUAUCUAGUAGGUGGGGUAACGGCUCACCUUAGGGACGAGCCCUAGCUGGUCUGGGAGGAUGACCAGCAACACUGUAACUGAGACACGGUCCAGACUCCUACGGAAGGCAGCAGUGGGGAAUAUUGCACAAUGGGCGCAAGCCAAAUGCAGCCAGGCCGCGUGUGUGAAGAAGGCCUUCGGGAUGUAAAGAACUUUCAGCGGGGAGGCGUUACCCGCAGAAGAAGCACCGGCUAACGCCGUGCCAGCCGCCGCGGUAAUUC
rnacentral:rRNA from 1 species